CAUUCAACAUCUACAAUUUACGGACUGGGACGAAAUGAAAAAUAUUCCAAGAUCAACUGGAAACUUUCUGUUUUUUCUGAACGUGGUAGAGAGUUUCACGAAAAAGCAAGACUACGGACCGAUAUUGAUCCAUUGCUUUGAUGGUGCAAGCAAGAGUGGUUUGUUCUGUGUGGUUUCGCUGCUUCUCCAAAAGAUGGCAGUUGAACAUGAAAUCAGUGUACUUAACGCUGUAAGGAAAGUCAAAUCAAUGCGAAGGCUAGCAAUCCCUAAUCAGGAACAAUUUGUGUACUGCCAUAAGUGCGUUUCGGACUAUCUUUGCUCAUUCGAUGGGUACGCCAACUUCAAGUUUAAAGAAUAACCUCAAAAUGAACACAUUCAUCUUUUGUCCAAUCGUACGACAAAACUGAAAAAACUGUAAGUUAAAGACAGUGCAGUUAUGUGUGUUUGACGCCAAACAUGUGUACAUCAUACUGCAAGACGAAAGCUUUAAAAUAGAUAUAUUCAACCCAUUAUUGUACUUGUGUUUAUUGUAUAGCAUUGUUUUAUCAACUUAUUUAAAAAAAAAAUCCUAUUACAUUCAGCUUUAUUGUAUGCGUAUUAUCAAAAUGUGUGCAAAACUUAUCUUUGCAAGUGUGUCUCAUGUAGCAUCAUAUGCAAACAAUCCUUAAAGGGGCUGUACUCCGUAUGAUAAAAUAGCGGGAAAAAAGAAAAUUGUUGAAAACUGACAUAAAUUUGGCAUCGAUUUGUGCACUACAUUGAAACUUACUAACUGAAGUACCACAUAGUGUACAAUUUAUUUAAGUUUAGCAGUUAUUUCGUAUUUUUCCAUUAUUUUUUUUACUGGGUAUGUCUACCACGUAGAAUCCAUUCCUUAUGCGUGAUUGGCUAGUCAGUGUUAUCACGUGAUAUUGCCGAAGUAGAUGUAUAGCUUAAUUAUGUCAUCCUUUUAGAGGUAGCCGUCGUAGCUCAGUAGAUACGACGCUGGACUGCAAUUUUGGCGACAGAGGUUCAAACCCGGUCUCCGACACAUUUUUUUUUACAUUUUGGUACUUUUUUACAAUUAUGAUAUCAAAGCGUAACACAUUAUAUUAGAUAAUUGUCAUGUGAUUCGUUACAGAAAAAAUCCUUUUUUGGUGCCAAUCUGGUGUACAGUCCCUUUAAUGCGGCAUUUUGUAAGAACAAUAUUUCUAUUUUAUAUGUCUCUUAUUUUCAUUAUGUCGUUGUUUAUAUUGUGUAUUAUAAAAUACAGAGAAGUGUAGCAAAAACAUGUAUGUUCGUUAAUAUUUCUAAAACUAAAAUUACUAAUAUAUUUGUAAAAUGGAACAACACAGUAGCCAAAUCUUAAGACAUAUUCUAGGUGUCAUUUUUGACUUGAAUUCAAAUAUGUCAUUACAGUUUGUUAGUAUUCAAAUAUAUCCAUUGACAAUGAAAGAACGUUUUCAAUUUUUCACCAUUUUCGUUCUCGUUCAUUUUGGUUUUGAUUCAUGUAUUUAUAUGCGUUGUAUGUUUCUCGUUUAUAUAGAAUGUUGUUUGAUAAAAUGCCAUAACUUUAUUUCUUAAAGCUGCACUCUCACCGGUUGACCGUUUUGACAAAAAAAAAUUGUCUUGAGCUUUGCAAUUUUUUGCGUAAAUUCUGUCAAACCAGUGAUAUAAGACCGUUGACAAAAAUCAGACCGAACGAUUUCAUAUUUAUGUCCCAAAUGUUUUAUGCAUUUUUCUGAAAGCGUUGGUAACGCUCUUACCCAUAAAAACAUUCCCUUUUAGUUUAAACAUAUUUUAUUCAUCAAUACAUGUCAAAUACAAUGUAAAUCAAAUACAAGUACAAAUGUUAUGAAACGGAUGAGAACGAAAGAUAAAUAAAUCUUAUAAUGUUCUUCUCCAAACAAUUUUUAGAGUGCUUUUUUAAGUGACGGACAUUAUAUUUCGAACAGAAAUGUAACAAAA